rnacentral:tRNA from 4 species
AGGGGUAUAGCUCAGUUGGUAGAGCGUCGGUCUCCAAAACCGAAAGUCGGGGGUUCGAGUCCCUCUGCCCCUGCCA